rnacentral:rRNA from 1 species
UGGGGAAUUUUGGACAAUGGGGCGAAAGCCUGAUCCAGCAAUGCCGCGUGUGUGAAGAAGGCCUUCGGGUUGUAAAGCACUUUUGUCCGGAAAGAAAUCCUUGGCUCUAAUACAGUCGGGGGAUGACGGUACCGGAAGAAUAAGCACCGGCUAACUACGUGCCAGCAGCCGCGGUAAUACGUAGGGUGCAAGCGUUAAUCGGAAUUACUGGGCGUAAAGCGUGCGCAGGCGGUUUGCUAAGACCGAUGUGAAAUCCCCGGGCUCAACCUGGGAACUGCAUGGUGACUGGGCAGGCUAGAGUAUGGCAGGAGGGGGGUAGAAUUCCACGUGUGAGCAGUGAAAUGCGUAGAGAUGUGGAGGAAUACCGAUGGCGAAGGCAGCCCCUGGGCCAAUACUGACGCUCAUGCACGAAAGCGUGGGGAGCAAAACAGGCUU